GUUCGAGUCCCAAACAGGACGAAACGCGCGUCCUGGAU
rnacentral:hammerhead_ribozyme from 1 species